rnacentral:lncRNA from 1 species
CUUUAGCUAAUUUCUUGAUUCUCCUCUUGAACUUGGGUACGUUGCUAUCUUCUUUAGCAUGUCCAUAUUGCCCUUAUCCUACUCCUCCCCCUCCGUGUCCCCCAACAUUUCCACCAAAACACCCUCCACAUGUAAAGCCACCUUUCCACCCCAAACCACCGCAUCACAAGCCACCCCAUGUCAAACCACCGCACAAGCCCCCGUAUGUUCCUAAACCACCUUAUUCCCCAAGCCCUAAACCGCCUUACGUGCCAAAACCACCUCAUACUCCAGUCCCUAGGCCACCAUAUUUCCCCAAACCACCUUACACACCAAGGCCUAAGCCACCAUAUGCGCCAAAACCACCUUAUACGCCAACCCCUAAGCCACCAUAUUUCCCCAAACCACCUUACACACCAAGGCCGAAGCCACCAUAUGUGCCAAAACCACCUUAUACGCCAGCCCCUAAGCCACCAUAUUUUCCCAAACCACCUUACACACCAAGGCCUAAGCCACCAUAUGCACCAAAACCACCUUAUACGCCAACACCUAAGCCACCAUAUUUCCCCAAACCACCUUACACACCAAGGCCUAAGCCACCGUACGUGCCAAAACCACCGUACACACCAAGGCCUAAGCCACCGUACGUGCCAAAACCACCAUACACACCAACCCCUAAGCCACCGUACGUGCCAAAACCACCUUACACCCCAACCCCUAAGCCACCGUACGUGCCAAAACCACCGUAUACCCCAACUCCUAAGCCACCGUACGUCCCAUCGCCACCUUAUACCCCUCGCCCUAAACCACCGUAUGUACCAUCACCACCUUAUACCCCUAGCCCUAAACCACCGUAUGUGCCAUCACCACCAUAUACCCCAAGCCCUACCCCACCAUAUGUACCAUCACCACCGUAUACCCCAAGCCCACCAUAUGUACCAUCACCACCGUAUACCCCAAGCCCUAGCCCACCACCACCACCAAGUGGAACACCGUGUCCUCCGCCGCCGCCACCAAAGGUGAGACCGUACCCUCCACCACCAUCACAAACUUGUCCCAUUGAUACUCUCAAGCUUGGUGCAUGCGUCGACGUGUUGGGCGGUCUAAUACACAUCGGUAUAGGCAGCAGUGCAAAGGACGCUUGCUGCCCCGUGCUGCAGGGGCUACUGGACUUGGAUGCUGCAUUAUGUCUUUGCACCACCAUUAAACUUAAGCUUUUGAAUAUCAAUCUUAUUAUACCGAUCGCCCUUGAAGUGCUUAUUGACUGCGGCAAGCAUCCGCCGCCCGGAUUCCAGUGUCCUGCCUAAUUGGUGACGCUUUCCAGCCAUGCAAUUGAUGAAUGCGACUUGUUUGUUUUGGAGAUUUUGUCAAAGAUAAUGACAUGUAAGUGCAUAAAGUGGAAGUACUUCAUGAUAUCGAAGUUUGUCUUAAUAUAUGUUUUGUUCCUCUUGUGCAUAUCAAACCAAUUAUCUUUGGAGCAAAAUCUAUGUUUUGAUGGAUCCAUACUAUCUGCAAGUUUGGGAUCAUGGGGUGUCAAAUAAUCGCUUAUUUGACCCAAAUUUUAUUUGAGUUGUCCAAUUAGUUGUAACCAUCAAAUAAUUUAUUAUCACACAUAAUUUUGAGAGUAAAUUCUCAAUUGACCAUUAAAAAAAAUAAUCACAACCGACAAAUUCAAAACAGAUACUAUCAUCGUGGAAAGAAAUAUUAAUUAUGCAUUUGGAUUCUGAUAUAAGAUACGCUGAUCUUUUGAUGAUAUCCAUUUUCGCGCCUACAUAAUUCAGAUUCAACCACAAUUUUAUUGUUAUCCAAUAGCUAUUAAUAAAAUAUUAUAUUAAAAAAAAGCACAAAACUUGACCGGCACUGAAUUUAUAUUCAUUGAUUAUACUAAUGGAACCUUUCAUUUGAUGAAUUUAAUUGUUCAAUGAAAAAUAACUAGCUGAAACAGUUGAAGACGGGGUGAUUUCUCACCUCGAAAAGAGAGAGAAUUCCCCCAAAGUGCCGCUUGAUAGGAUUUGAUUUAAUUUAAUUUAAUUUAAUUUUAUGCCUUGCCCUUAAAUAAUGUGGAGUAGAGAUUGCUCUUAUUAUUGAUUCAAAAUCAUUAGAUAUGCAUUAUUAUAAAAACUUUAUAGUAAUUAUUCAAUGAAAGAGAAUUAUUAUUAAUAUCAUUUUCUUUCCAGACUGAUUAAUCAAUGAUUGUUUUGCAGGAAUGGAGCAUUAUAUGAAUUUCAGUCCAAUAACAUUUAAACAGCUCUCUUUAAGAAUGAAUUUGAGUUUUAGGCUACACAAGAUAAUCUGCCGUAUCCCUUGAUUUAACAUUCUAGUUAUUAAUUGUACGUACACAAAAAAAAAAAAAAAUCAUGGAGUGAUUGAUUUUUCCCAAACAGUUAUACUGUAGAUCAUUAAAGAAAAUAUAAAAAAAUAAAAGUUGAAACGAGUGGCCUAAACAGUAAACUUUGGGUGAAAGUUACAGAUAAUAUUUAAUUACGAUGGAGUUUUUUUUCCCCCCUUUUUUGCAUUUCUGAAACGUGUUGCCUGAUUUAACAGAGAAAAGGGAAAAUUUGAUGGUUGACACUUGGUAAUGAUUUAUAAGUAAUUUAAGGAUUUUUCUAUAAUGCUGUAUGUACUUUUACAGCAUUAAUAGUGCAGUUAUUAUAAACCCUUUGAUUUGAGUGAUUUAAUCUUAGUCAUUUAUUUAAUAUAAUAAAUAAAUAAGUAAUUAAUUAAAAGCUAGCAAGUAACUUGUAAGUUGUAGGUAAAUAUUAGUUUUUUAAUUUUAAAUUAAUAUUAACUUUAUAGCAUUUAAUAUAAGUUAUCAGAACGAGAUGCAUGUAAUCCAAGUUGAUCAUCGAGUUCAUGAUCAUGACCCUGCUGCUUGGUCAAUUGAGAUCUUUCCGACAGUACCACAUGAAAAUUCAUUUUGUCGAGGAGCUGCUGAAGUUGUACAGGAAGAAACAGAAUCCAAUCUCUCUAGUCCGACCGGUACAUUUCUCCAGGUCGCCGCCCACCAGGGUCUGGCCGCGUUGGCAGUCGAAUUUGGCGGUGGCAUUCUCUGCUGGAGAACGGGAAAAUUCUCUUGUGCUCCGUGGAACUCUGUAGUGCAGCUGGAUUCAUUGCUUGCUGUGGUGGUUAUAUCUUAGAACGUAGAGGCAAAGCUAAAUUGGCUUGCUCAGAUUAUGACAGGAGUGGGAGGUGUUGCCACUGCCAGUAGAUUUAUAAAUGGUAUGAAAAAACUACAUUAAUAACUGUGCAAGAUCAUGUGAGAAGGAACCCGUCGAGCUGGAGAUGAUCAAAUCAAGGAAGGCAUUGAAGGGCGAGGCGGAGAGAAGGAGAACAGAAUCAGAGGCUGAGAUGACUCAGAUGACGAUGCAAACUCAAUUGCAGAUCGUCCUUUGUUGAGGGGAUGAAUUCGAGUCGAAAGAGGAAGCGCGAUGAAGAAGACGAAUCACGAGUUUCUCAGAGGUAAAAUUCUUGAACAUGUCAAUGGUUAAUCAUUCAGGAACUUGAGACACUCUUUAAGAAUCCAAUUUCCUUCAAGAACAUGAGAGAAAAAACCGAUGGUUAAAUUUAUGAGAUAAAUAAAGAGAUUUUAUUUUAUCAAAUUUUUUAUCUCUUUUUUAAUCUAAAACAACCUUUUCAACCGGUUUGUUAACCGAUUAUAGUAUUUUUUAAAUGAUUAAAUUUUUCAUUAAUAAAAAUAAUGUGUACCGUUGAUUAGAUCUAAUGGCAUAUAUUUCUUACACUAUUGAUGCUGUAAAAAAAAUUACGGUAUCAUAAAGGGACUCGUAAUUUAAUCCUAAGUGUUUAGGGAGAGCAGUGACCUCUUGAAAAAUCCUCUUGUUACACUUUUUUUUUUCAUUUUUUUCUACUCCUUUAUUUAUUUAUUUUAAAUCCUUAAUUAAUUAUAAUACAUAUAUAUAUUUUUUUUUCCAAAAAAGUUUCUAUCAAAUUGAUAACAUGUAGAUACACAAUGUCAGAAGGAUUUCUAUCCUUGGUAUCAGUCAUUGUGGAACAAUUCAAAUGAAUAUACAGACAACGAGAAAGAGGUAUCAAUACCCCCUCAGAUUUCUCACAAUUACUAACACAUGCGAGGAUUGCUUUUAUUAUUAACAGUUACAAACCCCCUCUAAAUGGAGUUAGCUCUUUUCGAUAGCGGAAAGCAGUGGUAUUACCAUCGUGGUGGGGCAAAAUUUAGAAACUGUAUUUAGGAUAGACUACGAUAAAAAUAUAAAAAGACAUCAACUUUUUCAAGAAAACGGGCGACGAGCUAGUUUGGUUGGGAAUACUAUAAUUUUUAAAAUAAUUGUAAUUAGUAUUACAGUAAAAAUUAUUAAUUAUGAAGAAAAUCAAUUAAAUAUUUAAUAAAAUUUAUUUUUUAAAAAUGUUAUGAGUUAUAAAAGCAGUCAUAUAUAUUUAGUAAAUUUAACUGUUAAACUACUGUAAGAAUAUAAAUGAUUGAAUUAGAUGUUAAGAAAAAUGUAUUUAGAUAUUUAUAAACAUGUAUAUAUAUAUAUAUAUAUAUUAUUGUGUAUACAUAAUAAUUGAUAACUAGAAAUAAAUAUUUUAUAUUAUUAAUUUUAUUUUUAUCUUGUUAUCUCAAUAUAAUUGGUAAUAAUAAUAAUCUCUUUAAAGUUAAUGAUUUUAUUACCUAAUUAAUAAGGAUAAUUUUAGAUUUUUAUAAUUUAUAUAAGGAUACAUAUGAAAUUGUAUACAAUAUAAAGUUGAUUUUCAAAAUCAAAUUUUAAAAAGCUACUCAUUUCUUACUUUUCAAGUGCAUCCGAAAAAUUGGAUAUUUGGAUCUGGUUAAAUUUUAUUUUAAAUUAAAAACUAAAUUAAAAAUAUUUAUUAAAAUUAAAUUAAAAAUUAAAAAUUAAAAUUUAUUUGUCAAUUUAUGUUGUUGUUGUAUGCUAUUCAUGUUGAAUUAUUAAUUGUUGAAUUAUGAUUGAAUUUUAUUUGAUAUUAUUAGGUAAAUUAUUGAAGGUUAUUUUAAAUUAAAAGUAAAUAUUAAAAAUUAAAUUGUAUUUGUGGAUCUUUAUGAUGUUGUUGUAUGUUACUCAUGUUUAAUUAUUAGUUGUUGAAUUAUGAUUGAAUUUUAUUAGGCAAAUUAUUGAAUUUUUAAAUUAUAUGUUAAAUUAUUGAAUUAUGACUUUUGCAGAUCUAGAUAUCCAAAAUAUCUGCCCACAUCUGUUGCGGAUAUAACCUGUAUCCGGAUUCACAUAUUUUUUUGCGGAUUCAGAUGUAGAUCCAAAUGUAGAAAUGUAAUGCAGAUAUAGAUGCAGAUGCACCUAUAUCAGGAUUCGGAUCCAGAUUUUGUCAACCCUAUUUCCCGCACUUUAAAAUUCUAGACCAAAAAACUACUAAUAUAUAUAGGGAAUAAUCUUUGAGUGAUAAUUAUAGAUUAUAAGAUUGUGGGGCUUUGAUUUUUUUUAAAAUUAUAUAAGUGUUUAGUUGAAUUUUUAUUGAAAAAAAUAAUUUUAACUUGGGUUAUUUAUGUAUUUUCAAUUGAAUAGGGGUUUAUAAAUACUUUUGUGGGGGUGUUACUAACAAUACUUCUUUUUCUUUUGGGGCGUGGGGCGUGGGGCGUGGGCUAUAAGUAUGGGUCAUGGCGAUCUAGCAUGUCCUCAUUGGCACCCUAAAAAAAUCCUCUUAGAAAUUUCAUUUUCAAUUAUAUUCUAUUUAGUGGUAAAGAUAAUAUUUUUUUCCCAUUAAAUAGACACUAAUUUCAUUUAUAAAUAUCUCAAGUUUUAAUAAUUUUCUCACUCUUGAAGUCUUAAUAUUUGUAUUCUUCUCUUCAAACUUUCUUUAUUAUUUAAUUUCUAUAAAAAAAUCUAAAAGAGAAAAAGUAAGAAAAACCUUAUACUUAGAAAAAGUAAGAAAAAGCUUAUUAUACAUAUAAGCUUUGGGUGGAGCGAUUAGUUUGAGAAUCCUCAAAAUUAUUUGAAGUGGGAUAAAAUUUUAUUUAGAGUAAUGAUAUAGUCACAAACUCUUGUACAAACUUAUUUUGUACACACUGAUGUGGCACGAUAAAAUUGGCUAAAUUAAAUAUCUCUUGACCCACAUGAUUUAUUUCUAUUAUUUUAUAUUUUCAUUCAACUAAUGAAUUAAUACCACAUCAGUUUGUGCAAAAUAAGUUUGUACAAGAAUUUGUGACUGUAUCAUCACUCUUUUAUUUAAUUUAUUUUCCAUUAUGUUGUAUCCUAAUUUGGUUGCUAUGUUUAUUACAAGAAUUUUGUUUUCGAUUAUAGAAUUACUAUGCAAGUAAAGUAAGUUGCAAAGAGAGAGAGAAAAUGUAAGUGGGUUAAUCUUAAUUCUAUUAAUAUUUGUCCUUAAAUAUGUAAUAUAAUAUAAGCAGAGUUUUAUGAGAUUAAUAAAGGGAUGCCAAUAGUCGACUGGUUAGGCGGGACCCCUACCUGUAAUAUAAAUCAUAAAAUGAAGCGAAUACACAAGGAGGGGGACAUAAACCAAAACCUCAAAGAGUAACUAAAAAUACACACGAAUAACUAAAAAAGAAUAAAGACAACAAAAAGAAAAGGAAAACCAUAAAUGCCAGCAUCUUAUGUGAGAAACAAUCUAUGCAUCCAAAUGGAGAAUACCAGAUAAGUCUGUAGGAAGAUCUUAAGGACAUAAGAAACACUGACUAGAUGAGACCAUGCCCAAUUGACCAAAAAAUUAGCAGCAGAGGUAGCCUUAUGAAACAGUCAGCUCUUAUAGUUUAUACAUGAGCCAACCUACUAAAUUUUUCAUUCAAUGUUAAACUUAUCUUGCCAAUUAUGCCAAUGACACAAUCUUGGGCGUUUAUAUAAUUUCAAUAAGAGUGAUAAAAGAUUUUGAUUGCAACAAAGUAUUUAUACAUAUUGUAUUUAUAUCAAUUAAUUGAGUAAUGACUCUAGCAUGGUUUGAACCCUCCCGACUAUAUAUAUAUAUAUAUAUAUAUAUAUAUAUAUAUAUAUAUAUAUAUAUAUAUAUAUAUAUAUAUAGAAAUGUUUAAAUCCAGAAUUUUAAAGUGCGGAAACGUCCGGGAAAAUGUAUAAACCGUGCGGUUUAAGCGCUUUAAGUUUUCCCGGACUUUUCCCGCACUUUAUGAUCCCGGAUAAAAAAACUACUAUAUAUAUAUAUAUAUAUAUAUAUAUAUAUAUAUAUAUAUAUAAGAGUGCUGGUAUAACAAUAUUGUAUAAUAAAUAUUUAAUUAGUUUAACAUUCGUAUUUAAUAACCACCAAUAAAAGUCUUGCAUUUUGAUUAGAUAAGGUAUAAAAGGGUUGCAGUUUUUAUUUCAUAUUGUAAUGAUAGUACUUUUAAAAUACAGUAUAAAAAUAAGGAUUAGAUUCCUCUCCUGGUUUAAGCAUUCAUGACCUUUUAAUAAUCUUAUUCCAUAUGUCAUGUAGUAAUAGUGUAUGGAUAGAAUAUAUUUUAAAUUUAUUAACCACCAAUGAACACAUAAAUUUUUAUUUAGAAGAAGUUCAAAUCAACAGAUUUUAAUCCGUGAACAUAAUAGAGAUCGAAGAGAAACUACAACUCAAAUAAGAAAAAAAGCCUUACAACUUCAUUUAACAAAUAUUAAAAAAGCCUUACAACUUCAUUUAAUAAAUAUUAAAAAAGCCUUACAACAUUUAUAUUAGAUUCACGAGCAACAAGGGAUCAAUAUUGAACAUGACAUGCAAUUAUUACAUCGAGACAUGAAUGUGUCUUCAAGUAUUAUACGAACUUGAAGCUCUCACACGUUAUUGUUAUUCUUUUAUGAGAAAAUAAACGAAACUAGUAACAUAUAAAAUAUUAAUAUGGUCAAUUAAUAUAUAUAUGUAUGUAUGUAUAUUUCCCUCAGAAACUGCAUAUGCGUGGGGCGUCACCAAUUAAUUAAUGGGUGGACACUGAAAUCCUGCUGGCGGAUACUUGCCACAGUCGUUGACAAGUACUUGCAGGGAGAUGGGUACGAGAAGAUUGAUGAGAUUUGGAGCCUUAAUUCUAAUGGCAGUGCAAAGACAUAUUGCAGCAUCCAAAUCUACUAGCCCAUGAAGCAAUGGGCAGCAUUUCUCCUUAGCACUGUCGCCAAGACCAAUGUGAAUUAAACCACCAAGAACAUCGACACAUGCACUAAGCUUGAGAGCAUUAAUGGGACAAGUUUUUUGUUGUUUUGGUGGCGGUGGGUAUCUCACGUUUGGUGGUGUUGGUGGCGAUUUUACAACUGGAGGAGGAGUUGGUUUUUCCUUUGGCGGUGGUGGUGGUUUCACAACUGGAGGAGGAGGAGUACUGGGUUUCACCUUUGGUGGUGGUGGUGGUUUUACAACUGGAGGAGGAGGAGUGGUUUUCACCUUUGGUGGGGGUGGUGGUUUUACAGCUGGAGGAGGAGGAGUUGGUUUCACUUUUGGUGGUCGGGGCGGCGGCUUAGGGCUCGGCGAAUGAGGCGGUGGGGGACAAUUUGGUGAAGAAGGAGGAGGAGGGGUUGGUUUGGAGCAGUCACAAGCUAAAGAAGAGAGCAAAGCACCCGAGUUCAGGAGGACAAUCAAGAAACUAGUUAAUUGAUAUUUGCCCAUGAUGAAAUAAUUUCGAAACUCUCUAAUGAACUAGCUAGCUAGGGUUUGGAAUGCAUUCACUAUUGAAUGAGUGCCUUUUUAUAGAGAGUAAGAAGUUUUGGAUUUUUAAAAUUUUUCAGUUUUAAUUCGUUGAUCCAUAGACUUAAGGGCAAAGUACAACCCAAGCCAACUCACGAAUGGACAGAUAGACAGACAUUAUAUAUUUUUUUCUUUAAUGCUUGGAACAUGGGAUUGAUUAUCGUUUUAAGGAAGAAGACUCGAUUGAUUAUUUAACCAAAAAGUUGGUAUAGUUAAUUAAGCGUAUUGUUCUUAUAAUUUGAAACGUAAAAUUUGCAAUUAAUCUCUAGCAAAUGCAAAACUUAAAACUCUAAUAUAACUUCUGCAUUAGAAUUUCGAAGGGCGUGGGGACCUGUACUCUCAAUUUCACAUGAAUAUUUGCAAGCUGUUCAAUCAUUGAAGACGAAUGCAAGCAACAAGCAUCUUGCGGGGACACUUCUUCAUUUUUCUUUGGGCCGUUACAUGAUAACAAUAUUUAUAGUUAUAUUAUUAGCCCAUUAACUAAUCUUAAUAUUAGAUAUUUUAACCUAUUAACUAAUCUUAAUAUGAGAUAUUUUUGUUAGUAUUUUUUACUAGUCCUUGUCAUGUAUAAAAUAGACCCACUAGUACACAAGUAAGAGUCUAUCUCAUGUAAAAAUUAACUCAAGAGUUGAGAGUUGUCUCAAGUUUAUAUUUAAUUCAAUAAGUUUUCUCAACCUAUCUGAGAUUUUUUCCUUAUCAUCCCCAUCACUUGCAAACCAAUAUAUCUUUUGUUUUUUUGGUCUUUAUCAUGCGGAAAAAUACAUAGUAUGUGCCAACUUGUGCAUAACUAUGAAUCUAAUACCAUAUAAAGGUAUGUGAGUCUAAUUCAUACUCUAAAAUUAGCUCAAGAGUUAAGGAUUACCUCUAAUUUAUAUUACUAGUUCAGUAACUAAUCUCAGCAUAUGGUGGCUCCACCAGAGGAAAGUGUUAUGCACCUAUAUACAUAAAUUAUAAUGAGUAAAAUUAUUCAUGAUGAUACAACCACAUUAAUGAAUAAUCAGUAGUAAUUGAACCAUGAAAGUGUCAUUCUUCGUUUAAGGGUGCCUUUGACAUAUUGUUUGCACACACAAAAAAAAAAAAAAAAGCGCUCAAAAAAGCCCCAAUUAAGGAUGUCCAUUGUACCCACAUAUGUCAGCAUAUGUGAGUUCUGAAACUCUUCAAAAAAAUACCUUUAUAUUAUUCGGAGUAUAAAUUUAUCUUGGAGAGUUUGGAGCAGAUUUGAUUUGGGUUUUCGUAAAAUUUAAUAUUCAAACAACUACUACUUCUUUAAAAGCAUAAAUAAACAAAUAAAUAAGGUGAUUAAUUUUUGUUUAAUUAGUGUGGUCAUUAAUUAUAGCGAUAUUGAAAUUUUAAUGCAUGAUCUUCUAAGAUUUGUUUUAGUUUUGAGAUUUCAGAUCAUAGUUGUUUGAUUUAUAUUUUAUUAUUUUGUGUUUUCAAAUCUUCGUGUAAAAAUGUCAACUACGCUUGCGCAAAUCUUGCUUUGUCCAUCUUUAAAAGAUCUGAAGAAGCUUCGAUUGCUCCCAAACUUUUAGAAAGAAUUCAAAAAUAUUAAUAUAUACCGCAUGAUAUGCGCUCACUGUUUAGAAAAAAAAUGUACUGCUAGAGUUUAUUUUUAAAUAUUCUCAAACUGCAUUCUGUUUUCUUACUAUAUUUUGGGAAAAUCAGUAUAAUUGAGAUGCGAAUAAGGUCGACAAUUAUACUAUUAAAAUGCAGUACAUGUGUUAUUUACGCAUUGCUUAUCUAAAUAGUUUGUUUUAUUUGCGCAUUGUUUAUAUAUAUAUAUAUUUAUUUAUUUAUUUAUUUAUUUAUUUAUCUAUAAUGUAUAACGAGGAUUCCCAAUCUUUUAAAUAUAAUAAAUAUGAAAAAUCGUUCUUCGUUUCUUGCAUGGCCAUUUUAAUAAAGCAGGUUAAGUUUAGGGAUGGCAAAAUCCUCCACGGGUUUGGGGCCCCAUGGAGCCCCACCCCAAAUGGAGAAAUUUUUUAGUAAUUUUUGGGGAAUGGGGUGGGGAAUGGGGGAAAAGUAAUCCCCAAAUUGUUAACGGGGUGGGGUUUGGUAUUGCACUCCCCACCCCACUCCCACCCCAAUCCCCAUUAUAUAUAAAUAUGUUUUUAAUUCUUAUUUAAUAAUUUGUAUUUUAUCAACUAUAAUGUCAAUUAAUGAUUUUUUUUAAUUUUUAUGUAAUAUAAAUAAAAUAUGAAUAAAAGAAAAUUCUACAAUAUUUUUCAACUUUAAAACAUUAAUAUAUUUUCUUUUCUCUUUUAAGGUGCUGCUUUCUUUAAAUAUUUUUCACUUUUAAUAUCAUUUUAAGAUAUUGUUUCAAAUUUUUAGAGAUUUUUUUUUAAAAUUAAAUACUUUAUAAUAUUGUGAUGAUUUUAUCUUAAGUCUCUAAUUUUUAAUUUACUGAAAUCAUAUUUUUAUAUCUACUAUAAAAUAUGUAAAUGGGGAAUGGGGUGGGGAUGGGGGAAUCAUUCCCCACGUGGGGAUUCCCCAUCCCCAACCCACUAAAUUUAUUGGGGAAUGGAGGCAAAAAUUUUUAAUGGGGUAGGCAUCCCCACCCCCACCCCGCCCCAUUGCCAUCCCUAGUUAAGUUAACGUGAAGUUACAUUUUUGAUCAUUCUGCCAUCUGAAGUAAGACCACAAAGUCGUGACUAUUGUGUAAAAGAAAAGUGAAAACAGAUCAAAGGUGAACAGUUUGACCUAUAAUUUCUCUGUUAACAAAACUAUAAUUAUUUUUUAUCGAACCCAAAAAAAGUAAAAAAAAAAAAAAUGUGUCCAAUAAGCGUUUAGCCUCAAUAAUUGCAUGCAUGCACAGAUAAUGUUCAUGAAAAAUCGACAGUGUUGAUGCAAGAAUUUUCGCGCACCAGCAGGAAGGCCGAAUAACCUUGGUGGUGAGGAUCCUGGGUAAAAUACCGGAGAUGGAAAAUGCGGUUGCUAGCUUUUGAAUUGCUUUAAUUUCAUAGAUACGAAAUAUAUCCAAUGAUACAGUAAAGAAAUAACAUAUGAUAGUAACAAGCCAAUUAGCUAGAUCUCUUCUUUUUAAGCUGACCUUGGUCUUUGUCACCUUGAUGAUAAGAUCCUUCGUGGUAGAAAUAGUAAAGAACAGGUGAGGAUCUCCUCAUGAAGCUAUUUCGAAGUCAAUAAGUAAUGGUGAGGUCAGCAAGAACCUUCUCUCUUAAUUAGUUGCUCUUCCCUCUCUCCUCGAUCAUCUCUUGAAUUAUAUGGGUGCUAUCUCCACGAGUUAAAAGACUUAUUUGUGUUCUUUUUUGUAGAGAAAAUAAAAUAUUCCUGUGCUACGUUCCUCAUUCUUAAUCCACCAUAGUUCUUCUGUUGGACAUUUGUUCUAUUUUCGUUAGUUGUGAUUCCUCAUCCUUAAUCCAUAACUCUUCUAUUGGACACAUGUUCUCCUUUCGUUAGUUAUGUUGAGAUUUCUUAAUGAAAUUUUACUAUAAGAAAAAAAAAAUAGUAAGUAGAGAUUAAUAAAAUCACCUUAAGUACUUUUUUGAGAUAAAAGUCACCUCAUGUACUUUAGAAAUGAUUAACUUUGUUUUUAAGUUAUUUUCAUAUUUAGAUAUUGAGCAUGCUGUCGUAUAUUCUAUAUUUUUUUUAUAUCAACAUGGUGGCAUAUUUUUUUUCUUUUUUUUUUUUGGUAUAACAGAUAAUAUAUGUGCCCUCGCCCCUCGCUCUUUGAAAUUCUAAUGCAUCGGAUACAAGGUAAUUCAUAUAAAAAAGACAAUUUUAAUAAGAUAAUCUUCGAAUACUCUCAUUGAUGAUGUGAACCCUUACCCGCAGCCUCUGCAGUAAAGCCUUCACUAGCUGGCUAAGCCCUUAAUUAGUAAUGACACAUUAAUAAUAUGAUCAAUCGACCAUUGAUCUUCUUGGUAUCACAAUGAAUCCCAUGUUUCAAGCAUGCAAUGAAAGAAAAAGGUAAAUGUCCGUUUAUCUGCCCAUUUGUGAGUUUGCUUGGAUUUUCCUUUAAGCCCUCGAGUCAAUGAAGCAAUCAAAAAUCAUAAAAAAGUAAAACGACCCAAAUACAAAACUCUCUCUAUAAAAAGGCAUCCAUUCAGUAGUGAAUGCACACCAAACCAGCCAGUUCGUUAGGGAGCUUUUGAAAUUAUUUCAUCAUGAGCAAAUAUCAAUUAACUAGUUUCUUGAUUGUCCUCUUGAACUUGGGCACUUUGGUCUCUUCUCUAGCUAAUGACCACUCAUAUAAUCUUCCUCCUCCUCUUCCUUCACCAAGCUGUCCCCCACCGCCUCAGUCGCCGAGCCCUAAGCCGCCGCCGCCACCACCACCAAUUGUUUACCCAACUCCUUGUCCCCCAGUUACAAAACCACCACCCACGCCAGAGGUGAAACCCACUCCUCCUCCUCCAGUUGUAAAACCACCACCCACGCCAGAGGUGAAACCCAAUCCUCCUCCUCCAGUUGUAAAACCACCACCACCACCACCAAAACAACAAACUUGUCCAAUUGAUGCUCUCAAGCUUGGUGCAUGCGUCGAUGUCCUUGAAGGUUUAAUUCACACUGGUCUUGCUCGUGAUGUUAAGAAGAAAUGCUGCCCAUUGCUUGACGGGCUAGCAGACUUGGAUGCUGCAAUAUGUCUUUGCACUGCCUUAGAAUUAAGGCUCUAAACCUCAUCGAUAUCCUCGCACCCUUCUCUUUGCAAGUACUUGUCACCGACUGCGGCAAACAUCCGCCAGUAGGAUUUCAGUGUCCUACCAAUUAAUUGGUGACGCCCCAUGCAUACCAUGCAGUUUGCGUGAAAAGGAGAUCUUAAUCGAUCAUAUUAAUAAUUGCAUGUUACUAGUUUCGUUUAUUUUCUCAUAAAAAAAUAAUAAUAAUAACGUGUGGGAGCUUCAAGUUAGUAGUACUUGAAGGCAUGCACGUGCGUGUGUGCGUAUGCCUUAUCCAUCAGUGAUAUCGCUUAUCAGUUGUAAAACCAAUAUUGUAUGUUGUGCAAUCCAAAUAAGGAAAAAAAAAAUGAAUGUUGUGGAAUAAAUAUUAGGGAAAAGGACAUUCAACCCUUCAACGUUUAGGAAAAUAGACAAAAAACCCUUCAACGUUUCAAAAAGGACUUAUAACUCCCUUUCCGUUAAUAAACACCGUUUGUUUUAACAGUAAAUUAUUUUUAAUUUUUAAUUACUAUUAUACCCUUAUAAUAAAUAUAAAUUAAUAUAUUGAUUUGAGACAUGUCACAAUUAAUAAUUUUUUUUAAACUAAAAAUUGAGAUACAAUUACAUUUUUGCCCAAAUUAUUUGCUACAAAUUAUACAUUUCUAAUGAUCAAACCUUUCAUAUGUGAUUAUUACUAAUAAAACGAAAUUUGAUUAAACCCUUUUUCUUUGAGGAAUCAAAACCAUAUUAUUAUUGUUAGAAAGGUAUAAUUUAUAGUAAAUAAUUUUGGCAAAAAAAUAAUUGUAUCUCAAUUUUAAGCUUUUAAAAAAUUAUUAAUUGUGAUAUAUCUCAAAUUAAUAUAUUAAUUUUUUUAUUAUAAGGGUAUAAUAGUAAUUAAAAUUUAAAAAUAAAUUUACUGUUAAAACAAACGGUGUUUGUUAACGGAAAGGGGGUUAUAAGUCCUUUUUGAAACGUUGAAGGAUUUUUUGUCCAUUUUCCUAAACGUUGGGGGGUUAAAUGUCAUUUUUCCUAAAUAUUAUUUACUGACAAAUUGUUUGGCAUUUAUUUUAGGGAGAGUGACAUUUUAUUUCUUCUUAAAAUUUAUUUCUAACACUUUAACUUUUAAUAUAUGUUUAAUACACCAUUUUAUUCAGAUGUUUGAACAGUUACUAACAAAAUACAGUUUUGAACGGUAAAAGUUAUAUUUCAAUAAAUAACUUAACUAAUUUUUAAUCUGCAGAGGUUUGGGCUAGCCAAUUUGGACAUGAGAAUGUCACCUUUAUUCUUCAACGACCUGUAUUUUUUCUAUUGUCGUUUUAACUCCAAAGAUGAAAUGAGAUAAAGAAAAAAAAAAAAAAGCUACUAGGGACUAAAUAGGUAAAUAGAAAGUUUAGGAGGGAUUAAAAUACUAUUCUUCUUUUAGUUUCUAUAUUUUAAGUUAAGUAUUUAUUUAAUCCCUAUUUUUAAAAAGUAUCUCAAGACAAUCAUGUUGCAAAACGUGUUACACUCCUAUCCUUUCUUUAUUUUUUAUUUUUCAAUAAUACAUUUGCAAUAAUAUUCUUGAAGAUAUUAAUAAAUAGGAAAAAAAUAGAAACUUAUCAAAUUAACCUUAAAAGUAAUAUAAAAAAUUACACAAACUUUUAUAUUAUUAUUUUACGUUUAGGAUUAAUUUAAUAAAUUCAUUUUUUAUAAAAUAAUUAUUCAUAAGAUUGUUGUAAGGUUAUUAAAAAUUAUUUUAAUUGACUGAUAUUAAUUUGUUUAUAAAUCAUUAUUAGUAAAAUUGUUGCACGGUACAAAAAAUACUAUUUCUUUCACAUAGAUAUUUAUUGGUUAAUUUACUAAUAAAUGACGAAUAAUUAAUUUACCAAUUAACUUUUUUAUAGAUAAAUUAAUUAAUGUCAAGAAUAUUGUUGGAAGGGCUAAAUAGAAAGAAAAACUAAGGGUAAGAAUGUAACGUAUUUAACUACAAGAGUGUUUUGAAGUAUUAUAUGGGUGCCAAAAGACUUAUUUGUGUUAUUUCCACGAGUUAAAAGACUUAUUUGUGUUCUUGUUUGUAGAGAAAGUAGAAUAUUUAUGUGUUAUGUUUCUCAUUCUUAAUCCAUAACUCUUCUGUUGGACAUGUGUCCUAUUUUCGUUGGCUGUUGAUUUCUCAUCAUUAAUCCAUAACUCUUCUAUUGGACAUGUGUCCUACUUUCGUUAGUUGUUGAGAUUUCUUGAUGAAAUUUUGCUAUGAGGAAAAAUAUAAAAUAGUAAGUAAAGAUUAAUAAAAUCACCUCAAGUAUUUUUUUGAGAUAAAGGUCAGCUCAUGCGCUUUAGAAAUGAUCAACUUAGUUUUUAAGCUAUUUUCAUAUUUAGAUAUUGAGCAUGUUGUCGUAUAUUCUAUUUUUUUAUAUCCACAUGGUGGCAUUUUUUUUUUUUUUUUGGGGGGUAUAACAGAUAAUAUAUGUGCCCUCGCCCCUCGCUCUUUGAAAUUCUAAUGCAUCGGAUACAAGGUAAUUCAUAUAAAAAAGACAAUUUUAAUAAGAUAAUCUUCGAAUACUCUCAUUGAUGAUGUGAACCCUUACCCGCAGCCUCUGCAGUAAAGCCUUCACUAGCUGGCUAAGCCCUUAAUUAGUAAUGACACAUUAAUAAUAUGAUCAAUCGACCAUUGAUCUUCUUGGUAUCACAAUGAAUCCCAUGUUUCAAGCAUGCAAUGAAAGAAAAAGGUAAAUGUCUGUUUAUCUGCCCAUUUGUGAGUUUGCUUGGAUUUUCUUUCAAGCCCUCGAGUCAAUGAAGCAAUUAAAAUUAACGAAAAAGUAAAACGACCCAAAUUCAUAACUCUCCCUACAAAAUGGCAUCCAUUCAGUAGUGAAUGCACUCCAAACCAGCCAGUUCGUUAGGGAGUUUUUGAAAUUAUUUCAUCAUGAGCAAAUAUCAAUUAACUAGUUUCUUGAUUGUCCUCUUGAACUUGGGCACUUUGGUCUCUUCUCUAGCUAAUGACCACUCAUAUAAUCCUCCUCCUCCUCCCCCCGUUACAAAACCACCACCCCCCCAAAAGUUGAAACCCACUCCUCCUCCUCCGGUUUUAAAACCACCACCGCCGGCGCCGCCAAAGCUGAAACCUCCUCCUCCUCCUCUAGUUGUAAAACCACCACCGCCGGCGACGCCAAAGGUGAAACCUCCUCCUCCUCCUCCAGUUGUAAAACCGCCGCCGCCGCCACCGCCAAAGGUGAAACCUCUUCCUCCUCCUCCAGUUGUAAAACCACCACCACCGCCGCCAAAGGUGAAACCUCCUCCUCCCCCUCCAGUUGUAAAACCACCACCACCACCAAAUGUGGGAUACCCACCGCCACCAACACAACAAACUUGUUCAAUUAAUGCUCUCAAGCUUGGUGCAUGCGUCGAUGUUCUUGGUGGUUUAAUUCACAUUGGUCUUGGCGACGGUGCUAAGGAGAAAUGCUGCCCAUUGCUUUAUGGGCUAGCUGACUUGGAUGCUGCAAUAUGUCUUUGCACUGCCAUUAAAAUUAAGGCUCUGAGUCUCAUCGAUAUUCUCGUACCCAUCUCUUUGCAAGUACUUGUCAGCGACUGUGGCAAACAUCCGCCAGCCGGAUUUCAGUGUCCUAUCAAUUAAUUGUUGACGCCCCAUGCAUAUCAUGCAGUCUACGUGAAAAGGAGAUCUUAAUAGAUCGUAUUAAUAAUUGCAUGUUACUAGUUUCGUUUAAUUUCUCAUAAAAAAAAUAAUAAUAAUAACGUGUGAGAGCUUCAAGUUAGUAGUACUUGAAGGCACGUGCAUGUGUACGUUUGUCUUAUUCAACAAUGAUAUCGCUUAUUAAUUGUGACACCAAUAUUGUAUGUUGUGCAAUCCAAAAAAGAAAAAAAAUGAAAAAUGAAUGUUGUGGAAUAAAUAUUAUUUAUUGAUAAAUUGUUGGCAUUUUUUUUAGGGAGAGUGACAUUUUAUUUCCUCUUAAAAUUUAUUUUUACCAGUUUAAUUUUUAGUAGAUGUUUAAUACCCUAGUUCAUUCUGAUGUUUGAACAGUUAUUAAAAAAAUACACUUUUGAAAGGUAAAAGUUACAUUUUAAUAAAUAAUUUAACUAAUUUUAAUUUGCAGAGGUUUGGGCUAGCCAAUUAGGACAUGAAAAUGUCACCUUUAUUCUUCAGCAAUGUAUUUUUUUCUAUUAUCAUUUUAACUCCAAUGAGGAAAGGUGAUAAUAAAAAAAUUAAAAAAAAAUUAGCUACUAGGGAUUUAACAGGUAAAGAGAAGGUUUAGAAAGGAUUAAAAUUUUAUUCUCCUUAUAUUUCCCAUAUUUUGAGUUAAGUGUUCUUUUAGUCCUUAUAUUUAAAAACUAUCUCAAGACACCUUGUUAAUUAUUAUGUUGCUCUCGUAUUCUUAAUUUUUCUAUUCUUUUACAAUAAUAUCCUUGUCAUAAUAUUCCCGAGGAUGUAAUAAUAUCCUUGAGGAUAUGAAUAAAUAGAAAAAGUAAUAAUUUAUCAAAUUAACCAUAUUAUUAUUUUACUUUUAGGAUUAAUUUAUUAAAUUCAUUUUUUAUAAGACAGUUAUUCAUAAGAUUGUUGUAAAGAUAUUAAAAAUUAUUCUAAUUGGCUAAUAUUAAUUGUUAUAAAUCAUUAUUAAUAAAUUUGUUGCACAUGUACAAAAAAUACUACUUUUUUCACACUGAUAUUUAUUGGUUAGUUUACUAAUGAAUAACUAAUAGUUAAUUUUGUUAGCCUAAAAUGGUCACACAUAUUGUAAUUUUGAUGAUAACAAACACGUGUCUUAAGUGAUUUGAAAAAUAUUGUAUUUCACAUUUUGACUAGUUAUUGAAAGAUAAUAUUUAUAAGGAAGUGAAUCACGUGAAAUCAAACUUAAGACACUCAACGGAAAAUGGCGUGAUCAAGAAUAAAGUUUAGAGCUUAACAGACUCAUUAUUGCAACAAUUCUUGUAAAGCCGGUAUGAUUUAAUAUAUGUAUGACUUAGUAUUUGAGAAACUCAAGAUUUUUAAUAAAUCAUCAUUUUUCAUAAACUAAAGGUUUUAUAAUUAUAAGCCAAGUAUUUUAUGAAGUUAGUUAUUUUUCAAGAUGUGGACUAAAAUGAAAAAGUUUUGUAAUCUUUGAUUUUAAUAAGUGUUGUUUUGAAUUUUGGAAUUGGACUUAUUUGUAAAUAUUUGAAACGUUUUGAGCUAUACUAUAAUUUAUAAACGUAUGAGGGCCUGAGUGUAGAUAUCCUAAAUAGAUAGAAUGUUAGCGGCUAACGGCCUGUGGACUAGCGGCUAGCCACUUGAGGAAAACUUCACAUUUUCAAAUUUUGGACUAAAAUGAAAAAAGUUUUGAAAACUUUAAAAUUUAUAAGUAUUAUGUUAAAUUUUGAAAAGGACUGUUUUGAAAAUUAUUAUCAUGUAUUGGGUCAUAUCACAAUUUUAAAAAUUUUUAGAAAUAACAAGUAUUAUUUAGAAAUUAUGAGAUUGGACCGUUUGUAAAGUUCUAUGACGUUUUGGGCCAUAGUAUAAUAAUUGUUGCAAAAUUCAAAUUUAAUGGUAACUUUACUGUUCUGAAGCGGGGAGCCAGAUAAAUUAAGCGGCUAACCGCUUGGUUGCUGGAAUUUGCCUAUAACGGCUAGCAACUUCAAUUUCAAGACUCUUGCAAGUAUAAAUAAGUGUAAACAACAUAUUUGGAGCUUUCAAAUUAGAAAAUCAUUAUAGAUUAAAUCUUCAUUGAGAUAUCAUUUGUUCAUUCACUCUAAAAGAAAGUUCUUUGUUGUAAUCUUUAUUUUCUUAUCAAAUUUGUGAGUGUAUAAGUGUGAGAAAUACUUGAGCGAAGAGAUUGAGAGAUAAUCUCUUGGUUGCAAAGAUUUAUUGACACCUUAGAAGUCAAUUGUAAAGAACUUGAAGUUAUGGGAAGCUUGGAUAGUGAAAUCCUCGAGCUUGGUUGACUUGAAGGCGUGGACGUAGGCGGGGAUUGCCGAACCACGUAAAAAUUGUUGUGUUUGCUCUCUCUUCCCUUACUCUUUUAUUAUUGUGCUUUAUUGAAGUUAUUGUUUUUUAUUUGAUUAAUGCAAUAGAUUAAAUUGUUGUGCGACAUAUUUAGCGUAAGUUUUAAAAUCUCAAUUCAACCCUUUCUUGGGUUGCAUAACUUGCAUUUCAAAUUUACCAAUUAACUUUUUUUAUAGACAAAUUAAUUAAUGUCAAGAAUAUUAUUGGAAGGGUUAGAUAAAAAUAAAAAGUAAGGGUAAGAAUGUAACAUAUUUAACUAUAGGAGUGUUUGAGGCACUUUUUAAAGUAUAACGGCUAAAUUGGCAUUUAAAUCAAAAUAUAGAGAUUAAAUGAGUAUUUAAACAUCAUUAUUAAUUCUUUCUUUUUCUUGGUUUUUCUUAUUUUUAUUCCCUGUUGCUGCUGAGGUUCAUUUGAAAAAUAGUUAUAUUAAUUUUUUUUUUUAUAUUUUCAAAGAAUAUCUAAGCCUAAUUUGAUAACAAUAUCUAUUUCAUCUGCGACAUUAAGAUGUAAAAGAAAGCACAUUUUUUAAAUUUUUUAUGGCCUUUAAUAUCAAUCUAAUGUGAUGUGUAUAUCAGAAGGUAGAGAUAAUUAUUCAUUUAAAGAUUGCCAAUAUUUAUUUAAUAAUAAUAAUUUCCUUUAUUGCAUGGCCAAUUUAAAAUAAGAGAUCGUAUGACUAGUAUGUGAAAAAGAAAGAAACGACUAAAACACAUUAGCAGACAACAAUUCCAUAAAAAAAAUUAUACUUGGGGUGAAAAGAAAAAUUACCUCUCAAAAAAAAAAACUAGUCAAUAAUAAUAACAUAAUAAAAAAAAUUAUUUGUACAAACAAAUGUGACAUAACAAUAUUCUUUGAAUGAAAACAUAAAUAAAUAAAUAAAUAAAAAUAAUGUGAGUUAAGUGGCAUUUUUAUUCAACCAAUGCUGAAUGCUAUAUUAAUUUGUACCUUGUACAAGAUAAUUUAUAAAAGAAGCUUGCAACUCUGUCAUCGCUGAAAAAGAAUUAUAUAUGUGUGCUUGAAUUUAAGAUGCUCAUGCAAUCGUUUGGAAAGAGGUUCUCCAACGGAGAUAUCAAAGUUGCUCACUCAUGAUAUGUUCAUGGGUCUCCCACGCUCUUUUUUUUUUUUAAUGGUUUCUCUCCUGUAAUUUUAGUUGCAUUUGCUUCCUUUUUUUUAAUAUUAUGGUUUUUUUUACGAUAUUGAAUCUUUUUCUUUUAGAGAUAAGAUUCAUUAUGUCUUUAGGUUAAGAUUCAAUGCUCAAGUGAACUUGUUCGCAUUCUAAUUCUGAGCUAAUUUGAUUUACUUUAGUUUUUUAAUUUUAUAUUAAUGAAUUCUCUCGCCUUGUGGAAAUUCGAUCCCUUUUUAAAAUAAAAAUGCCAUAAUGUUGAUAUAUUUCAGAGUCAAAGAUUAAUUUCUUCAUUUCAAUUUUUCUCGAAGUCAGUCACUUUGGCCUUACUCUGCCACGAUAUGUUCUUGACUUUCAAAAGGUGGCACCACGGUCAUCGUUAAAGAAAAUAUUUACAAAUAAUAGUGAUGAAAAUAGACAAUGCACUCAAUUUUCUCUGAAUUAAGCAAAAAAUCAAUAAAAUGUCUAUGAAAUUCCUCCUUCCGCCAAAAUUUAUGAAAAAAGAAAAUGACCCAUUCAUUUUAUUUUGUACAUUUGUGCAAAUUGCCCCUCUGGGAAAAGAUGUUUGAGUAUUGCUGAAUACCUGUAAAUUAAAAAAACGAAAAUAUCUGUGCAGAGUUUGUUACCUUUUAUGGUUUAUAAUAACAGAAAAUUUUGAACCCCAUAUUUGAGAAGAUUUUAGCAUGCUUUCUCAAUCAUGGGCAAAACAAAGCACUACAUGUUAAUAAUAUAAUGCCUCAAUUAUCAGAACCGUGUUUUCUUGAUUCUCUUUAUCCUCCAAACUUUGAAAAGAUUAUCUCCUAAUCCUUGCUGACAGGAACCCAAUGCCAUGUGGUCAGUUUUGGUGACUGUAUGUAUGAUUAUUCUACAAUGAAGAUAAAUUAACCACAAAAACUAACUACUUCUUCUCCCAGCCCUAAACCACCAUCUGACGAACCGAAACCUUAUAGAAAGUGGAAAAUUUGUGAAAAAAAGAUAAAAGAAAAAUAUUUUACAGCUAUAUUUAGGAUUCCCUAAAGUUUUUAGUGAUAGAAACCCAAGCGAUGUGUAAUUUCAAUCUAUUUUAUGAGGAUGCAAGCCUUUAUUAUAAAAUAUUAUAAAAUAAUUAAAAAUUAGGAUUCCCUCACAAUCUUAAACUUCUAAACUAAAUUCAAAUGUGUGAUAGAUUGUUAAUAAAUAAAAGUAUAAAAGAUCUUUUAAAGUUCAAAGUGGCUUAAAUCACCAGAAAAUCUAAUCUCGAAAAUUAUUAAAUGAUUCAAAAAAUAUCUCAUAUUACCUAAAAAUAGUUAGUUAUUAGACUAUGAAAACAAGCUUACGGCAACCCUUAAUUAAACUUCUGUGCCUUUCAAUGAAAACAAGAAAAAUUUGAAGUUUAAAUUAGAGUUUCUAAAAAUUAUAUUAAAAAACUAUUAAAGUUUCAUAGUAGUGCUAGGAAAUAACUUCAAAUGCUAUUUUGAAAUCCAUAAGAGAGGAAUUGGCAAAAAUAUAACUGUUCUUAUAGUCUAAGGGUGUGUUUGACACAUUGUAUUGUAUUAUGUUGUAUUGCAUUAUUUUAAUGCUGGUGUAUUGUAUUAUGAUGUAUUGCAUUAGCACUGUAUUAUAAUAAUGUUGUACAAUAUUUGAUGCUACACUUUAUUAUAUUAAUGUUUUUGUGAUUAACUUAAAUUAUAUAUUUAGAAAAUAAAAUUUAUUAGUACCUAGAAAAAUAUAAAAUAUAGAAGUCUUAAAUUUUAGAAAUUUAACAUUAUUUUUUAGUAUAAAUAUUAAAAAAACAUUUUUUUUCAUAAAGAUUGAAGCUUAUAGCCUUAUAAUCGACAACAUAACAUUUAUUUUAAAUUAAUAUUAUUUAAAUUUAUUCAUAUAUAAAUAUUUUUAUUAAAUUUUUCUAUAUUAAUUACUAUAAUAUAAUUAAAUAAUGUAAUAUCAAGCUAUAUUCUUAUUUUUAUAUAUUAUUUAAGUACUUAUUAAUCAAUUUGAUAUAUUAAUUAUUAUAUAAUUAAAUAAUACAUUAUUUAGUAAUAUUUUUAAUAUAAUAAAAAUUAAAAUAUGAAUAACAAUUUAUUAAUUUAUAUGAAUAAUUAUGAUAUAAAAAUAAAGAAAAUAAAAAUUUAUAUUAUAUUUAAAAGUUAUAUUAUUUAUUAUUAUUAAAAAAACAAAAGCAAAAGUAAAAAAAAAAAAAAAGAGGCAGCAAAUGCAAAAGCACAAAAGCUAAUGCGGCAGUUUCCCGACUCCCAGUCGGGUUUAGCUAAUGCGGCAGUUUCCCGCAUUAGCAUACCCCUUAAUCCCUUGUAAAAUUUUGCCAACAUGAUAUUGGUAUUAAGCUAAUGUGAACAGUAUUUUAAUACACUAUAAUACCAUGCACCAAACACAGCCUAAGAAUAUUAGUUGGGACAUAAAUAAUGUAACGUCUAACAUUGAAAGUUUAAAUGAAGAAAUAUUUGACAAAAAUUAGCUUAUCAUCAGCAUUAAAAGUGUGAAUCUUAAACUAAAUUAAUGCACGGAUAAUGUUGCCUUUCAGCAUUAAUCACAAAUGCUUUACAGUCCUCCUAAUAAGAUUAUGAAAAAAUUGGCUCUUAGUUAGCACUCCGGCCAAAGUCAGCAUCCAUGUCAUCGGAGUCCCAUAUUCCAUUUCCUCAUCUUCAUGAUCCGCCGCUUGAAACUGUAUAUCAGAUAAUCUUUCCUGACGCUGGACGCAUGUUGCUUGCUGUGACUUUGAUAGAUUAUUAAGAAGCUGAUGCAACGGAAGUUUAAUGUUCAAAAUAUUCCGUUGAUUCUAGAAAAUACAGGAACAAAAGAACAACUAAAUUCACGUUGAUUCAAAAGAAUACCGCGAAUUUAGGGAUUAAGACUCGUUGAUUCCGCAGAAUACCGAGAAUUAACUGUUCAAAUACUCACAAAGAGAUUUAAAAAUUGAAAUAUUAUUAAUCUCAAAAUUCUCUCCUCAAAAGCUACAAAAGACACUUAUUUAUACUAAGUAAGACUUAUCCUAAUAUGAUUAGAAAACCUAUUUUAAUAAGACUUAUGCCUAAAUUAUGAAUAUUACUCAAAUAAGCAAUACCUAAACAAUAAGACUCUAAAUAGGAAACCAAAUUAAACUAGAAUACAAAUUAAUUAAAAUAUUCCUAAAUAUUAUACAUUUAAAUAUAAUUAGGAUUUCUUGAAUUUCAUGCUCUGCAUCAUUCCCGCCAGGUUGGAGAAAAUUCGUCCUCGAAUUUUGUAUGUUGUAGUCUUCAAGAACAUCUUCAUGUGCAUAAGGAUUAAUUUUUAAAACAGAGCUUUGACAUAGACGACAAACUUUAAAUUUUCCAACUUUUGUAAUAAUGUCCAUCCAAUCACUCCAAUGGCGUAAAAUAAAUUCUUCUAUCAACAACUUCUCCAAUAAUGUCUUCUCGUAUUGUUCGUGUCGAACUUCAACAUAGUUGAGGAAAAACGAUUUCUUCUCAUAAUCCACUAACUGUUGAAAAAUAUCACAACUCUUUUUGUCUUCUUUCAGCAAAUCAAGAGAACAAUAAGAGAUUGUAUCAACAACUAUCUCUCUCUCCUCCACAAGAUCAAAAGAUGGAUGAACAAUUACCUCUUCUUGUCCCACAAUAUCAAGAUACUCAUCAAAUUUCGGCGAUUGAUCCAAAUCAAUGUCUUUGUGUUGAGGAUUUGUUGUAGACAUGAAUGGCCAAUUAAUAUUCUCCUCGGAAGGAAUAAUACUAUCGAAAGGAACAAAGUUACUAUUUUCCUCAUUAUCUUCAUAACAACCAUCAUCGUGAACAACGUCAUCAAAUCUAUAUGCAUGCUUUAUGUGUAAAGAUUUUCUAUCUCGAAUUUUCUCUAAAUCUUGAGAAAUUGAAUGCAAAAUCCUCAACAUCUUAACUAAAACAUCUCUCAAGAUGAAAUCUUCACGUCGAUGUUGUGAUUUCAUGAUAUAAUUUUUUUCUUUUUUUUCUUUUUUUUCCUAUGCUUUUUUGGUGUUGUUUGGGUUUUUUUUUUUUAAACUAAACGGAAAAAAACAAAAAGGAGAAAGGAAACGUUUGGUGGUAGAUGGGAUUAGAUGAGUAAUACCAGGUUUUGUCUCUGAUACCAAACUGAUGCAGCGGAAGUUUAAUGUUCAAAAUAUUCCGUUGAUUCUAGAGAAUACCGGAACAAAAGAACAACUAAAUUCACGUUGAUUCAAAAGAAUACCGCGAAUUUAGGGAUUAAGACUUGUUGAUUCCGCAGAAUACUGAGAAUUAACUGUUCAAAUACUCACAAAGAGAUUUGAAAAUUGAAAUAUUAUUAAACUCAAAAUUCUCUCCUCAAAAGCUACAAAAGACACUUAUUUAUACUAAGUAAGACUUAUCCUAAUAUGAUUAGAAAACCUAUUUUAAUAAGACUUAUGCCUAAAUUAGGAAUAUUACCCAAAUAAGCAAUACCUAAACAAUAAGACUCUAAAUAGGAAACCAAAUUAAACUAGAAUACAAAUUAAUUAAAAUAUUUCUAAAUAUUAUACAUUUAAAUAUAAUUAAGAUUUCUUCAAUUUCAUGCUCUGCAUCAGAAGCUGAGCUCUUAUUUCAUCCAAAUGCCUACGUUUGUUUUUAUUCUUCAGUUACUUAUUUGAGCCACAAAAAGUGUAUACUUAGGACCACAAUAGUUCAUAUAUUAUUCUUUCUAUAAAUACUCUUGUUUUGGGCAGUUACAAAGGCGUAGAGUGGUAGAGGGCUACAGGCAUCGGGCACGGCUUGUUUGAGGUCUCAUGUUUCAAUUCCCAAAUGAGCCUCAGGAACACCCAGCUGCUUCCAUCAAACACUUGGCCAAGCAGCAUUAUUCAGCUACUUUUAACUCUUAUUAAGUCAUUUUAAGUGCUGCUGUUAAAUAGAGAAAUUUUAGAAUACAUUAGAGAUAAUACAACUAAUUAAUGUGUGUAUGGCAUGCGUAAUCGAACUCAAUAUAACCUCAACUUGAACGGUAGUUUUUAUUUUUCAAAAUAAAUACUUAUUAUUAUUAUUAUUUACUUAUUGUGUGCUUGAUAUAGUAAAUCUGAUUAUAUUUUAAAAUUUAUCCCGUUAAGGAAAUUACUAAGCAUCAAGCCACUAACAAUCUCUACCAGCAGUAUUUGAGUGAGAACGGUCCCUUAUCAAAAGAAAAAUCAAAUGCUUGAGUAAUACAUAAUUGAAACCAGCAUAGAACUUUUUUUAAGAGGUCUAUCCAGUUAUUAUUUUUUUUUAUAAUUUUUAAUUUUUACUUUUCUUGGGAUAUAUGGACCAUGGCCUCCAGGGAAUACCGGCAACUUUAAAAAAUAAAUUAACGUUUGACUGGUUGUAAUACCCAACGUACUAGAGAACAACAAUACGAAUCGCACAUUUACAAGUGUAAAAUCGCAGGGGAUCAUGUGGAAAUGUCAUGUGAAAUUAACGUGCAUAUUACAAAUUGUAUCCAUCAAUUUUUUGUGUUUUCGAAUCUUCGUGUGGAAAUGUCAACAUAUAUUCUUUCGCGCAAAUCUCGCUUUGCCCUUCUUUAAGAGGGAAAAGAUAUGAAGAAAUAUACACAUAUACGGUACAGCUAGAUUUAAAUUUUUAAUAUUCUCAAACUGCAUGCAUUGAGUUUUACUAUUGGCAGAAGCAGUACUUUUCAGAUACGAACGAGUUCAACAAUUAUAUUAAAAUGCAAUAUAUGUGUUAUGUCUCUGCCCAUUUUUUCUAUUUAUGCGUUGUUUAUGUAUGUAUGUAUUGUGUACAACGUGGAUUCACAAACUUUAAAAAAAAAUAUUAAAUAUGAAAUUAAUAUUAUACCACGUUUCUUGCAUGGCUAUUUAAAUAGAGGUUAAGUUAAAGAGAAGAUAUAUUUUUAAUCAUUCUGCCAUUUGAAGUAAGACCAAAAAGUCAUGAACUAUUGAGUAUAAAACAAAAACAGACUACCAGUGAACAGUUUAGGCUAUAAUUUCUAUGUUUAAUUAGAAACUGUAAUUAUUUAUUGUACAUUAUCGAACUCAAAAAGGGAGGAAAAAAGUGUCCAAGCAUACAGCUAGCCUUCAUAAUAUCACAGCUAAUGUUCAUGAAAAAUUGAUGGUACAGGUGUACUCGCUCGUUCUUUGAAAUUCUAAUGCAGAGCUUUCCAAGUCAUGAAAUUAAUUCUGCGAAAAGAUAAUUUAAUUUGAUAAGAUAAUCCUCAAAUGCUCUCAUUGAUGGUGAACCCUUACCCACAUGCAUGCAAAGUAUCUAUGUCUUAGCUAUAGCUAAGAGUGAAUUUAAUUAUUAAUAACACCUUAAUACUAUAAUCAAUCGACUAUUGAUCUUCUUAGUAUCAUAAUCAAUAACGUGAAAGGUAAAAAAAAAACCGAAAAAGCAUGAAGGAGAAAAAGGGUAAAUGUCUGUCUAUCUGUCCAUUUUUGAAGUUGGCUUGGGUUGUCCUUUAAGUACCAGAGUCAAUGAAGCAACAAAAACUAAUGAAAAAUUAAAAUGACCAAAAAUUCAUAACUCUAUCUAUAAAAAAGGCAUUCAUUCGAUAGUGAAUGCACUCCAAAUCCUAGCUAGUUAGCUCAUUAGAGAGUAUUGAAAUUAUUUCAUGAUGGGUAAAUUUGCCAGUUUCUUGAUUGUCCUCUUGAACUAGGGCGCACUUUGCUCUUUUCUCUAGCUUGUGACUGCUACAACCCAACUCCUCCUUCACAAGUUUCAAGUUAGUAGUACUUGAAUGCACAUCCACGUAAACAUAUGUCUCAUAUUCUUAUUCAACGGUGAUAUCUUAUUAUUAUUAUUAUUAUUAUUUAUCAUAAGUGAUAUCUUAUUAUUUGUGAAACUAACAUUGUAUGUUGUAAAAUCCGAAAAAGGAAAAAAAUUGUAUGCUGUGUGAGUAAGUAUUAUCUAUUGAUGACUUGUUUGGCAUUUUGUGUAUGGAGAGUGGCACUUUAGUUCCUCUUAAAUUUUGAUUUUUCCACUUUAGCUUUUAAUAGAUUAUUAAUGAUGUUUAAACAGUUAUUAACCAAAUACAAUUUUGAAGGGUAAAAGGUUGCAUUUUAACAAAUAUAUUAACUAGUUUUAAUUUACAGAAGUUUCGGCUAAUUAAUUUGCAUAUGAAAAUCUUUCAUUUAUUCUAGAGAAGUGCAAUUUUCUACUGUUUUUUUUUAACACCAAAAUGAAACGACGUAUUAAAAAUCUAGCUAUUAAGGACUAAUGUGGUAAAAAUAAAGUUUAGGAUAGAUAAAAAAUAUCACUUCUUUUGUUUAUAAUUUGACGUUUCUCCUCUCUCUUUAAUUAUAUAUAUACAGUAUCAAUUUUUUGUGGUUUGAAAUAACAUCUCAGCCUUAUUUGAUAUCAAUCAUUUCAUCUCUGACAUUAAAAUGUAAGUAUGUAACAUAAAAGAAUAUUUUUUGAGUUAUCAUAGCCUUUAUAUCAAUCUAAUGUGAUGUAUAUCUCAUAAGGCAGGAAUAAUUUUGCCUAUUAGCAAGUUACUAUUAUUCUUUACCAGUAAAUUUUUAACGUUGACAUUUUUAAGUUAGAAAUGUAAUGGGUAAUUCAAAAAAAAAAAAUAAUGGUAAAAGUGAGAAAUUAAAAAAUUAAUUGCGGUUAAGGAUUUUAUUCAAAAUUUCUUAUAAAUAUUAUCAGUUAAAUCAAAUAUAUUCAUUUUCCAGAUUUUAGAAAAUACAGUAUAUGUACAACAUCUGUUAUACAUUUAUUAAAAUUUACUUAACGACUAUAAUAUAAGAAGCGAAGUAGUUGUGGCAAUAUAAUUAUAUAUCUAUCAUUAAUGUAUUAAUAUAAGAAAGAAAGUAUUUUGAAUGAAUUGCAAGUUUAUUAACAAACGUACAAAACGAUAAUGUGUAUAGUAUAAGUGAAACAAGAAACAAAGGAAGGGAGGCCUCUAGUAAAAGCAUCAUCCUAAAGUCAUCAUGUCACACUUAAAUUAAACUAAUUACAAUAAUGCUAUGUUUACUAAGUUUAGAUAUUUAGUUGGGAUACUCACUGAUGUGUCACCAAUAAUUUAAUAUCAUAUGUAUGAUAUUAAUUGAUUUUAUUAUUAAUUAAUAACAAAUUAUUUUACAAUCUACUUAACGGAUGAUGUGCAACGCCAUUAGGGGCUCAUUUAGGAUUACUUUUGCGAGGCUCAAAAGUGAUUGAAAAGGUAAAAGAUAAUUUUAAUGUAUGAUAGAUUUUUCUAAAAUUAAUUUUGUCAAAAAGAUGGGACUAUUUGAACCUGUAAAAAUACUCUUUAAACCUAAUUUUAAAUAAAAAAACUAUAUUAUAACAAAACCCUUUUAUUAAAUUACUAUAAAAGACAUGAUAUUUGCAUCUAUUUAUAAAAGACAUGAUAUUUAUGCACAUUUAUCAUGUAUAAAAAAAUAUCUUUUAAAUCAAAAAAAGAUUAGCAGCUCAUAUAAACAGAUACGUUAGAAUUUAAUUCAUGGAAAUCAACCUACUUUAUAAUGCAAUCAUCCAUAUUUCAAAGAGAGACCAAAAAAAAAAAAAAAAAUCAGAAUCCCAAAUGAAGAGAAUUUAAUGUUAAAAAAAUAAUUUGAUCUUAGAGACAAUCGUGGGAAGUAAAACGUUUUUUUUUAAAAAAAAAAAUCUACUUUAAAUUUAAAAACCAAAGAUCAAUUGUGGAACUUUUCUUCAUUAAUAAAAUAUUUCUUACUUUCUAAAGUGUAAGUGGUUGUCGUUAUUAAGAUUUCAUCGGAUAAUUUUGGUAAGAUUGGAAUUUGUGAAAAGAAAAUGAAGAAAGAUUAUGUUUGGUAUUUCUGGAAAAAUAUUUUAUUGUUGUUAAUAGAGAAGAAGAAAAAGAUGGCAGUGUAAAUGGGCAUUUAUAAAGCAUUAUUAAAAUGAAAAAAUAAUUUUUAAUUAAGUCUAAUUUAAGGAUUAUAGUAGGUUUAUAGAGUUAAAAUUUAAAUGAAUUAUUUUUUUGUCAUGGGUGUAUAGAGUAAACAGGUUUAGAGAGAAAAUUUUUGGGUUCAUAUAGUCUCAUCCUUGGCAAAAUUAGCCAAUUUUGAUUUUGAGAAUAACUUUUAUACUAAAAUUUUAAAGUACGGAAAAGUUUGGAAAAAUGCAUAAACUGUGCGGUUUAAUCACUUUAAAUUUUAAGCUUUUAAAACCCUAGGGUUUUAAAGUUUUCCUGAACUUUUCCUGUAAUAUCCAUAUAUCUUUAUUAUUUAGGAAAUAAAAUCAUUAACUAUAAAUAAAUUAUUAUUAUUAUUACUAAUUAUAUUGAUAUAAUAAAAUAAAAAUAAAAAUAUAAAAUAUUUAUUUUAGUUAUCAAUUUUACUUGUACAUAAUAAAAAAAUAUUUCAUAUGCAAGUUUAUAAAUGUUUAAAUAUAUUUUAUUGAACAUAAUGUCCAAUUCAAUUAUUUACAUUUUUACAUUAGUUUAACAGUAACAUGUACCAAAUACAUAAAAUUACUUUUAAAACUCACAACACUUUUAAAAAUAAAAUUUAUCAAACAUUUAAUUAAUUAUCUCAAUAACUGAUUAUUUCUACAUCACAGUUAACAUUAAUUAUUUAAAAGGUGUAAUAUUAUGAAAUUAGCCCUAAGUAGUGUCACAGUGGAAUAUUCAAAGUGUAUAAUUAUAUCAUCACUCAACUAAUUAAUGAUUAGGUGAAACACAGAUUUUAUCAACUGUUUGUAAAUUCCGAAGCUUCUCCUGUUAAGAGAAUUUUCUUAGAAUCUCAACAUGAAUAGAAUUUUCAUGUGAAAAUCAUUGGUUGAUUUAUUAUUCAUAAGUCAACUAAGCUUGCAUAAAUCUCGCUUGUCCCAUCUUCAAAAAAGAUUUCUUCCGAAUUUUAGGACUAGUCAAAAUCUCACGAUCUUGCUAUCACAAAUUACGAAAUACAGCUAGAUUUAUUUAAUUUUCUUUUAAUUUUCUCAAGUGCAUUUAUAUUUGAUAUUUCUAAGUUAGCACUGUCAGUGACAGAAGCAGUAUCUCUUAGAUUCAACUGAUGUGGAUAACUAUAUUAAAAUGCAAUGCAUACAUGAUUUGUAGAUCUUGUUAUGGAUUUAAUAGAGUGGUUUUCAAUUGAUUUUAUUUAAAUAAUCAUAUGGAUUCAGUCCUAAGAGAAAUAGGGUUAAAAAAUUAAUUUAAAUUUUACAUGCUUUCUAACCUUUAUAUAUAUAUAUAUAUAUGCCAAUUAAAUAUAAGUUGUGUUAAGUGUUAAAGUGAAGUAAAUCCAUUUUCAUCAAUCUGGCAUUUGAAGUAAAAGACCGUAAAGCCAUCACUAUGCAAACAAAGUAAUCAAAAAACUAAAAUAGUUUCCCUUAUUAAUGAUGUGUCCAUGUUUGCAAAAACUUUUCCUCAAUAAUUGAACCAAAACAGGAAAAUAAUUGAUUUGCAAGUAAAGGUACCCUCGCAGGCCCGCCCCUUGAAAUUCUAAUGCAGAAGUUACAACUAUUACAUUUGGUAAUUGAGUUUAUUAAUGAAAGAAAUUACGUUUCAGACUACAAAUAAUUCACUUAAUUAUCCCAAUAACUCAUUAGUAUUAUUAUAAUAAUCAAUCGAAUGUUCUUAGUAUCAUAAUGAAUCCCAUGUUUCAAGCAUGAAUGAAAAAACAAAUGGGAGUAUCUCUGUCUAUAUCUCCGUUCAAUGGUGAGCUGGCUUGGGUUGUCCUUUGGGCCCUAAAGUCAACAAAUCAACAAACAGUUAAAAAAUUAAAAUGAUCCCAAAUUCAUAACUCUCUCUAUAAAAGGGCAUUCAUUCAAUAGGGAAUGCAUUCCCAACUUAGCAAGCCAAGCUCUUUAGAGAGUUCUAUAAAAAAAUUUCAUCAUGGGAAAAUAUCAAUUAGCAACUUCCUUUAUUCUACUCUUGAACUUCGGCACUUUGCUUACAUCUCUAGCUUGUGACUGCUCACCUCCUCCCCCUGCUUCUAAGACACCAAACUGUCCCCCACCGCCUUCUUCACCGAGCCCUAAAACGCCACCACCUCCUCCUCCGUUUGUAAAAUCGCCGCCACCACCACCUCCGGUCGUGAAGUCGGCCCCUCCGCCUCCGCCUCCUGUUACAAAGUCACCGCCACCUCCUCCACCGGUUGUCAAGUCACCCCCACCACCGAUUGUAAAGCCGCCACCGCCUAACGGACCAAGCCCUAAGUCACCACCGCCACCUAGUGUGAGAUACCCACCGCCACCAAAACAACAAACUUGCCCCAUUGAUGCUCUCAAACUCGGUGCAUGUGUUGAUGUUUUAGGUGGGUUAAUUCACAUUGGUCUUGGUGACAGUGCUAAGGAGAAAUGCUGCCCAUUGCUGCAAGGGCUAGCAGAUUUGGAUGCUGCAGUAUGUCUUUGCACUGCCAUUAGACUUAAGGCUCUGAAUCUCAUUAAUCUUCUCGUGCCCAUCUCCCUACAAGUACUUGUCAACGACUGUGGCAAAUAUCCGCCCGCAGGAUUUCAGUGUCCUGCUUAAUUAGUGACGCCUCAUGCAUGCAUGUUGCAACUGCGUGGAAAAGAUUAAUUGACCAUAUUAUUGUUUGUUAUCUUCUACCUAGUUUCGCUUUGUUCAAUGAUAAUAAUUAAUCUGAGAGCUAGAAGUUCAAGCUCUUCGAGGAAAAAUCCUCUAGAUAUAUGUAUUUUGUUUCUCUUGUUGCACGUCAAACCGAAAUGUGCUCUGAUAUUAUUUGUUAUUUGAUAUACAUUUAAUAAAUCAUAUGUGUCCAAGUAAAUUAAAAGUUUUUCUCUAUCUCCCUUCCAUUCACAUCAGUACAUUCGAUUUACAGUGGCGGAUCUAGAAAAAUAAUUUACCAGGGGUUAAAUUAUAUAAUAGUAAAAUUUUAAAACUAAAACUUUGAAUGUAUAAAAUAUCCGUUAAUACAUUUAUAAUUAUUCUUGGAGUAUUUUCAAAAAUAGAAAAAUGUUUGUGGUGAUGACCUAUCAUUAUUUUUAAUUAUAGUAGGCUUUUAUAAUUCUAAAAGUUAAAGUUUAAAUUUUGUGAGUUUAUAAAUUUAUAGGGUCAAUUUUAAUAGAUUUAAUGGGGGCUAAUUAGAAAUCUUAAAUAUUUUUUUCUUUUAUUCCUAGAAUUAUUUUUUUCAGUUAGCGGGGGUUGUAAUCCCCACUGGUCACGUACUGCAUCCGCCCCUGGACAUAUAUUCAUAUGCCCGUUGAUCAAUAUAUGACUUUUAACAUUUUUUUUAAGAUUUUCGUAUCAAGUCACCAUUCCAGCUCUUGUUGUAGGAAUCAGGUGAUGUUCAACAACAAGAGCUGGAAUGGUGACUUGAUCGUCCGGGAUAUUAAGGCAAGGACUGAGAGUAUUUGUUCUACCUUAUCCAGCGUCGGCUAUCGAAGAAAUGCAAGGAUUCAGAAAUGGAUUCGUUGGGAUCCUCCACCAUGGCCUUUCUUAUGCUUGAAUACGGAUGGUGCAAGGAAAGGAAAUGGAGAGGCGAGUGCAGGUGGCCUGUUGCGGGACUGCCAUGGUAAUUUUAUUCAUGGUUUCAGCGCAAAUCUUGGAGUUUGUUCGGUUAUAAAGGCUGAACUUUGGGGUGUCUUGCAUGGGUUAAGAAUGGCAUGGGACCUUGGAUAUAGACGUAUCCAAGUUGGAACAGACAACUGUAGUGUUGUACAGCUUAUCAAGGAGAACAAUGCUAAUGUCACUGAAUUUUCGAAUAUAAUCGAGAUGAUUAAGGAUCUCAUAAGGAGGGAUUGGAGGAUUCAAAUUGAUCACAUCUACCGCGAAGCAAAUUCGGCGGCUGAUUUUCUUUCUACGCAUGCUUUGAGUUUGCCUCUUGGAGUGCACUUUUUUCACUCUGUACCUUCAGGUUUGAGAUCUAUUUUGUAUUCGGAUAUGUAUGGGGUGGCACACCCCCGUUUUGUGCCCCUCUAGCUCUUCUCUUUCAGAGCCCUUUGUUUAUAAAAAAAAAAUAAUAAUAAUUGAAAGACAAUUAAUUUUAAAACACGUGAUAUAUGUAUUUACAUUAAAAGAGACCUACUGUUGCGGCUACAAAAAUUAAGGGUAUGCACACUCAUAUUUGGCAUAAAUAUUAGUUGACAAAAUAAAAAUAAUAAAAAUAAAUCAUACGAGCUAUAUGAUAUUUUCAUUCCACCAACACCGUAUGCCACAUUAGUUUGUAUGUUGUAAAAAAUAGUUUGUAGAAAAUUUUGUAACUCUGUUGUUACUAAAAAGGAGUUACAUAUGUGUGCGUUAAGAUGUUCAUGCAAUCGUUCGAAAAGAGGUUCCGCAAUGGAGAUAAAGUUACUCGCUCUUGAUGUUCUUGGUUUCCCUUGCAGUUGUAAUGCUUAGCACAAAUUAUGGUUCUAGAUCUCCUGUAAUUUGUUUUCUUGUUUGUUUGUUUGUUUUUCUUUUUCUUUUUUUUAUGGUGUUGUAAUCUUUUCCUUUUAGGAACGCCUUCCCCUAACUUGAUUUACGUUAUUCAUUUUUCAGUUUAUAUUUGCGAAUUCUCUCGCCUUGUGGAAAUCCCUUAUCAAAAAAUGUCUAUCAUGCAAUAAUGUUGAUAUGUUUUAGGUAGAGUCAAAAAUUAAUUUCUUCAUUUUAAUUUUCCUCGAAGUCGGUCACUUUAGCGUUACUCUGCCACUAUAUGUUCUUGACUCUCAAAGGAUGGCGCCACGGUCAUCAUCAAAGAAAAUAUUUAUAAAUAAUAGUGAUGAAAAUAGACAAUUCACUCAAUUUCUCUGAAUUAAGGAAAAUAAAUAAAUAAAAUGUCUAUGAAAUUCCUCCUUCCGCCGAAAUUUACGAAAAAAGAAAAUGGCCCAUUCAUUCUAUUUUGUACAUUUGUGCAAAUUGCCACUCUAGGAAAAGAUGUCCGAAUAUUGCUGAAUAAAUGUAAAUUAAAAAAACAAAAAUAUCUGUGCAGAGUUUGUUAGCUUAUGUGGUUUAUAAUAACAGAAAAUUUUGACCUGCAUACGAGAUUUGAGAGGAUUUUAGCAUUCUUUCUCAAUCGUGGGCUCAACAUAAAGCACUACAUGUUAAAAAUAUAAUGCCUCAAAUAUCAAAACCGUGUUUUCUUGAUUCUCUAUGUCCUUCAAAGUUUGAAAUGAUUAUCUCCGAAUCCUUGCCGACAGGAACCCCUAUGCCUGCAGUCAGUUUUGGUGACUACAGUGUCAUAAUUCUAGAAUGAAGAUGAAGAUUUGGAUCGAUGCUAAACUCAUAUGUGCUUAUCUCUUUAUAAUCUUGUGCUUUAUGUGCAUGUAUAGUAAGAUACAAUUAAGAUUUAAUUAGCUUUUUAAAAGAUUAACAAAAAGGCUAGCUCAGUACUGAAUUCAAAACUUAAAGAUAAACCACCUUCUUUUGAAACCUUAGGAAGUAAAAGACUUGCUAAAAAUGAUAAAAUAAAAAUGCUUUAAAUUAUGAGAAAAUUUUAUAUUACCGCUCUCAUGAAUUGACUAUCUUCAAAUCGCCCAUUUAUUUUUAAAAUUCUCAAAUUAUCUCAUUUUUCAAUUUUCUUAUUAAAAAUAGGGAUAAAUUGAGGUUUUCAAAAGUAAGGAGGUGAUUUGAAAAUAAUCAAUUCAUGAAAAGGGAAAUCCAAAAUUAACCCUAAAAUUAUAUUUAGGAUUCCCUAAAGAUUUCAGUAACGAAACCCAAUCGAUCGUAAUUUCAAUCAAUUUAAUGAGGAUUGGCUAUUAAAAUACUACAAGCUAAUAAUUAAAAAAAUUAUGAUUUUUGCAUGUAAUUAACGAUUAAUAAAUAGAAUAUAUAAUAAGAAGUUCAAUUCUGACCAUAAAACAACACUAAAAGACAAGUUGUAUAAUAUUUUUAUGUUGAAUAUUAAACUUAAUCCAAAUAGAGCACAAGUAGCCCAAUUCUUAAAAGUCUCUAAGGUAAGCUUGUGUUAAAUUUGUUAGGUAGUUGAAGUUUGAAUGAGUCUAAAUAUAAUUGUUUGAAUUAUAUUUUUUUAAUAUCGUAAUUUAUUUUAUAAAAAAAAAAUUUAAACAUGAUUAUUUAACAUUUAUUUCCUUACAAGUCAAAACGAAUGAAGUGACAUGUUUCAUAGUUCUAGAAAUAAAUGUAUUUAAUAGAGAUAAUCUUGAGAUAUAGCAUUUACUUCCCAUUCAAACCUUUUUCAUUAAGAUAAAAACUAUAAAAUUUUACUUUUUCUAUGGAGGAAAAGAAUUAUUAUUUUUUAAUAUUUCUCCCUUUAUAUUAUUAUUAUUAUUAUUAUUGUUGUUGUUGUUGUUGUUGUUGUUGUUGUUGAUGGAGGAAAAGAAUUAAAAAUAAUACACCCAAGAAAAGGUUUCUGAAUUUUGCUGGAUUCCAAUUUAGAAAAAAAAAAGAACAGGAAAAAAAAAUGUAAUUUGAAUACAGAUGUUCAAGUUGCGUAUAGUUAGUUUACAGGGCAAGAAAGCAUAUUUGAUUUGUAUAUAAUGAAAUAGUCAUUGAAUUUUUAGCAUUAUUAUUUCCAAUCACGCGCUCAGAUAAACCACUGUAUGUUAAAAAAAAUACCUCUCAAAUAUCAAGAUCCGCGAUUUCUUGAUUCUGUUUGUCAUUGAAGUCUGUAAAGCUUAUCCUCAAAAUCCUUGCUGAAAGGAAGGAACCCAUAUGCCUGUAGUCAGUUUUGGCGACUGUUUAAUUAUUAUAUUAAUAACAUUAGUGAUCAAAUUACUCUUCUUCUGUAACCUAUAUAAUGUGAAAAAAUAUAUUUAUAUAAUUAUAUGUACAAUGUAGAAGAAGACGUGUCAUGUUAAUAGAGGUUACAUAUGUUAUGUUAGAGAUUAAAAAUUUUACGCUAGAGAAGCAUGUAGCAUGUCUAUUAUGAGUUGUCAUGCACCUCACGAUCUAGAUCAGUCAAUAAAACCCCCCAUUUGCUUAUUUAAAUUAUCAAUGAUUGAUUAAUUCUCACGCCCUCCUAAUUUCUAUAUAAGAGGGGCAUUCAUUCACAGAACAAAAUGUACAAGUUCCUUGAUAGAGUCUAAGAGCUAGAGUAAUUGCAAUUUUUUCAUCAUCAUGGCCAAAUAUCAGUUAGCUGGUCUCUUGAUUCUCCUUUUGAACUUGGGCACUUUGCUCCCUUCUCUAGCUUCUGACUGCUCAAAUCCACCAAGUGUCCCCAAAACACCUUCUUCCCCAAGCCCUAAACC